rnacentral:lncRNA from 1 species
UCAUAUGUGUGUUGUGGCACCGUUAAAGUCCACAAUUCCUCUAAAGUCCACAACACCGCUAAAGUCCACAACAAAUUUCCGCUAAAGUCCACAACGCCGCUAAAGUCCACAAACUUUCCGCUAAAGUCCACAAAAUUACCUCCGCUAAAGUCCACAAGAAAACGCCGUUAAAGUCCACAAUAACAAGUUCCGCUAAAGUCCACAAAAAAGCACCGUUAAAGUCCACACCAAUUUUUUUAUUGUUAAAAACAUAUUAUUCGUUAUUUUUAUCCCGUUAGUACAAUACAAAGCAUUGGCCUUUCU